rnacentral:rRNA from 1 species
CACGUAGGCUGUUUGGUAAGUCAGGGGUGAAAUCCCGCGGCUCAACCGCGGAAUUGCCCUUGAUACUGCUGGACUUGAGUCCGGGAGAGGGUGGCGGAAUUCCAGGUGUAGGAGUGAAAUCCGUAGAUAUCUGGAGGAACAUCAGUGGCGAAGGCGGCCACCUGGACCGGUAUUGACGCUGAGGUGCGAAAGCGUGGGGAGCAAACA